rnacentral:rRNA from 1 species
UACAGAGGGGGCAAGCGUUGUUCGGAAUUACUGGGCGUAAAGGGCGCGUAGGCGGCCUUCUAAGUCGAACGUGAAAUCCCCCGGCUUAACCUGGGAACUGCGUCUGAUACUGGAAGGCUUGAGGAUGGGAGAGGGAUGUAGAAUUCCAGGUGUAGCGGUGAAAUGCGUAGAUAUCUGGAGGAAUACCGGUGGCGAAGGCGGCAUCCUGGACCAUUACUGACGCUGAGGCGCGAAAGCUAGGGGAGCAAACGGG